rnacentral:tRNA from 4 species
GCCUCCUUAGCUCAGUCGGCAGAGCGCUUCCAUGGUAAGGAAGAGGUCGUGGGUUCGAUUCCCACAGGAGGCU